GGAUAACAUUUGGAGCGAUUGCGAUACAGAUUUCUAAUCUGUAGGUCAUAGGUUCGAAUCCUAUUGGGAUCA
rnacentral:tRNA from 1 species